UACAGAGGUCCCAAGCGUCGUUCGGAUUCACUGGGCGUAAAGGGUGCGUAGGCGGCUUUGCAAGUCUGAUGUGAAAUCUCCGGGCCUAACCCGGAAAUGGCAUUAGAAACUGCAGGGCUGGAGGCUUGGAGGGGGAACUGGAAUGCUUGGUGUAGCAGUGAAAUGCGUAGAUAUCAAGCGGAACACCAGUGGCGAAGGCGAGUUCCUGGACAAGACCUGACGCUGAGGCACGAAAGCCGGGGGAGCAAACAGG
rnacentral:rRNA from 1 species